GUAUGUGAUCAUACCAGCACUAAAGCACCGGAUCCCAUCAGAACUCCGAAGUUAAGCGUGCUUAGGCGAGAUUAGUACUAGGAUGGGUGACCUCUUGGCAAGUCCUCGUGUUGCAUUCA
rfam:Triticum aestivum genome assembly, contig: Triticum_aestivum_CS42_TGACv1_scaffold_057720_1BS